GGGAGCCCGUCCCCACCGAGCGGCUCCGGCACGGUUGCGUUCCCAUGGCCACGGCGGGCGGGCGGGCGGGGCCGGGAAUGUCCCGCCCCUGCGGCCGGGCGUUGCUGCGUCCGGACGCUGCCCUGCCCGGCGCUGGGGGCGGCUGAUCGUGCCUCUACCGCGGGCAGGCGCGCCCCUCGGGGUUUUCCCUUGCUGCUUGUGCUCCUGCUCCUUGCAGCGCCCCGCGCCCGCUUUCCGCAGAGCCCUAAGGCUUCGCCCUGCCGCCUCCAUCUUGUGCCGCGUCCGGGAGAGCGGCGCUGGUGCGGGGAUGUAGCUGGACUUUGAGGGGACAGGGCAGGAAUGAGGCCGGGAUAGGAAGGACACGUGUAUUUUUGCUUUUCAGCAGCUGCUGCUGGAGUUGUUUCAUGUGAUGCUCCCGGGACCCUCGGUUAGUGCUCAGGAAAUCUGGUUUAGCAGUUACAGGAUUCAAGCCUGGAUAUUCUUAUUCUUGGGUUUGCUUGUUGUCAUUUAGGACUUCUGCAGCUGUAAAGUGGUGAAAGUGAGUCCAGAGAAGGGCAAGGGAGCUGGUGAAGGGUCUGGAGCUCAAGUCCUGCGCGGAGUGGCUGAGCGAGCUGGGGUUGUUUAGCGUGGGGAACAGGAGCCUUGGUGACCUUAUGUCUCUCUAGAAUUCCUUGAAAGGAAGGUGUAGCCAGCUGGAGAUUGGCCUCUUCUCCCAGGCAACCAGUGACAAGACAAGAGGACACAGCCUUAAGAUGUGCCGGAGGAGGUUUAGAUUGGACAUUAGGAGGAAUUGGACAUUGGGAUGCACUGCACGGGGCGGUGGUGACGUCACUGUCGGUGGAGGUGUUUAAGGAAAGACUGAUGUGGCACUCAGUGCUAUAGUCUGUUUGACACGGUGGUGUUUGGUCGUAGGCUGGACUCAGUGAUCUCAGAGGUCUUUUCCAACCUAAUUGCUUCUCUGGUUUUAUGAAAAUAGGCUUGCUACGUACUGCCUAGAGAGGCUGCAGGGUUUGUUUUUUUUUAAUCUCUAGAGCAUCUCAAGAGGCCUGUAAAAAGCAUUACAAAUAAAUAUCAUACUUUGCAAAAUAUUGCUGUUUCCUCAAGGAGGAGGCCAUCCUUUUCUAUAAGAAACAAAGUUGGAAGCUUCUUCAUGGUAAAUGUUAUAACCAGAAAAGGCUAAUGCUUUUGUGAACAUAAGGAGAUUUGCAGCAACGCUGCCUAGGAAUAGGACACAAAAAACAGAGAAAUUGAAAAUGGGCCCUGUCCUCUGUCUAUAACCUUGAAGCAAGUUCAUUACGUUAGUUAUUUUGUGUACAAAACUGUGUAUCAAAGGGUUAUUCACAGCUUGUCACAUCUGAUAUAAAAUGCUGGCCCUUCAGUACCUCAUUACAGGAAAGCAACUUUAGGACUGUAGUUCCAAAUGCCUUGGCUCUGUGAAUUGUAGACAAUUUAACUUUGAAUGCUAGUUUACUUUCUUAAAGGCCCACCCCUUGCCUGAAGCAACAACAUUUUUAGGUUAAUGGGUCAACUGAAGAUGCGUCUGAACUAAGAAAUGCUGUCUCAGCUUUGUUUCUGACAGACAUCAUCUACAUCUCUACAUCUGUAGGAUGUGACUUCCCACAAUGGAUUCAUCCGUGCCCUAAAGAUACCCAGCAGGCUGUAAACACCCUCAUUUUACUAAAGAGCUUUACAAUGUGAUACCUUAUUAUAAUUUUUGAUGUGGCAACAGAAGCCACUUUUUAAUAGAGCUCCCUGGCAUUUCUCAUUAUCAAGUUCAGUUUUCCUUUCUUCUAUCUUAUUUCAUUAAAACUCCAUGAUUUCCAUGAAAUUCUUCCAUGCUGAACAUCUGCCUUGGCGUAAUGAGGUGUGUAAACUGCACUUUGGCCAAAAAAUUAUUCUUUGUUGGCUCCACCCUCUGAUAUUUUUCCACUUUAAGGUUUUCAGAGAUGACUAAAUACAGGCAGCCUGGACUUCUUUUUUUCUUUAGGUGGAAUGGAUCAGAUGGAAACCAGGUUGAGAAGGAGCAAUGGAAUAACUAAAUGGGUUCUUGAGAGUCCUACAAGAUGCCAGGGCAUAGCCAAACAGAUAAGUACUCUCUGUAGUCAUGUACGACCAAAAAGGUACAGUCCCACUAUUAACUUUUACUGCAUUAAAUUGGACUAAAUGUGAGAUAUUGCCACGUUUUUCUUUGUUCACCAUGAGCUGCCUGGCCCCGCUGCCUCUGAUCUGCCAAGUGUUAGCACCUGAAAGACUAUGUACGGAACCAGCUCUGGAGACUGAUAUGGCAGAAAACUAACUUGUCAAAAAAUAAAAGAUAAAAGUUUUCAGGGUACUGCAUAGCUGCCUGAAGACCGGUACUCACUCAUAGGAGGUGACAGGUGUGUGAUUCAAAAGGAAAGCAGCAGCACAAGGCUGCAGUCAAUGUCAUUGCUAAGUUUUUAAUCCAGAAGAAGGGAGCCUUCCUUCCAGCCAGCAAAAAGAAGGAGGCAGAUGGGGGUCACUAUUCCCAUCAGAAAGCAGAGGCAUCUUCUGGAGGACACUCAUACUUAACUUCACUUGGACUGAGUCAUCUUCUUAAAUGCUGAUUUUUAAAGAACAGAGCUCACAUUUGGAUGAUUUGCAGGGCUGUAGUCAGGUGUGUUGUCUUGCCUCAGGAGGAAAAGGAUCUUGGAUUGAACUCCUUAGGGAACUAGUGAAUUCCUAAUGUUCUCACUCCUCUCAUGUAAUAUUCAGAGGAUUAAAUGCCAAUACCGUU